UACGUAGGGGGCAAGCGUUGUCCGGAAUUAUUGGGCGUAAAGCGCGCGCAGGCGGUCAUUUAAGUCUGGUGUUUAAUCCUGGGGCUCAACCCCAGUUCGCAUCGGAAACUGGAUGACUUGAGUGUAGGAGAGGAAAGUGGAAUUCCACGUGUAGCGGUGAAAUGCGUAGAUAUCGAGAGGAACACCAGUGGCGAAGGCGACUACCUGGCCUGUUUCUUGACGCUGAGGCGCGAAAGCUAGGGGAGCAAACGGG
rnacentral:rRNA from 1 species